AGGGAUAUAUCUCAGUUGGUAGAGUAUUUGCCUCAUAUGCACAUGGCCCUGGGUUCAAUCCCUAGCACCACAA
rfam:Ictidomys tridecemlineatus contig074046, whole genome shotgun sequence.